rnacentral:lncRNA from 1 species
CUCUCUUUCUUUCUUUUUCUCUCUUUUUUACCUCACCGGAGAUUAAGCAUAGUAGUGGACGCAGGUCUCUGCUACAAGGUAUCCAUACCUAUCCAAGCCUAAAUCAUAGGAUGCCUUCAUUCAGAGAAUCUCUAAUACAAAUUUGCAUAAAAGGUCUGAGAUCCAGAAAUAGCUAAGACCUUUCUGAAGGGAACUUGUCCCCUGGAAAAUUGUUUCAUCCCUAGAGGAAUUAAGGAAGUGGAACACAGUUGCAUGCCCCCUGGGAGAUUUACAGAAGGAGGCCAAAAAACGGAAAGCACUUAAAGGCACCCACAUCCUUACACACUGGGCUGUUUCCCCAGAGUGUCCAGGGUGCAGACUGAAUACUCAAUGGCAUCUUUGUCUCAGGCUGUCACAUAUUCAACAGAUCAACUUGAAUGUCAGAAAGCAC